GAUGAACGCUGGCGGCGUGCCUAAUACAUGCAAGUCGAGCGAACAGACGAGGAGCUUGCUCCUCUGACGUUAGCGGCGGACGGGUGAGUAACACGUGGAUAACCUACCUAUAAGACUGGGAUAACUUCGGGAAACCGGAGCUAAUACCGGAUAAUAUAUUGAACCGCAUGGUUCAAUAGUGAAAGACGGUUUUGCUGUCACUUAUAGAUGGAUCCGCGCCGCAUUAGCUAGUUGGUAAGGUAAUGGCUUACCAAGGCAACGAUGCGUAGCCGACCUGAGAGGGUGAUCGGCGACACGGGAAGUGAGACACGGUCCAGACUCCUACGGGAGGCAGCAGUAGGGAAUCGGCGGCAAUGGGCGAAAGCCUGACGGAGCAACGCCGCGUGAGUGAUGAAGGUCUUCGGAUCGUAAAACUCUGUUAUUAGGGAAGAACAAAUGUGUAAGUAACUAUGCACGUCGUGACGGUACCGAAUCAGAAAGCCACGGCUAACUACGUG
rnacentral:rRNA from 1 species